rnacentral:rRNA from 1 species
UGGGGAAUAUUGCACAAUGGGCGAAAGCCUGAUGCAGCGACGCCGCGUGAGGGAUGACGGCCUUCGGGUUGUAAACCUCUUUCAGCAGGGACGAAGCGAAAGUGACGGUACCUGCAGAAGAAGCACCGGCCAACUACGUGCCAGCAGCCGCGGUAAUACGUAGGGUGCAAGCGUUGUCCGGAAUUAUUGGGCGUAAAGAGCUCGUAGGCGGCUUGUCGCGUCGGCUGUGAAAACCUGGGGCUCAACCCCGGGCCUGCAGCCGAUACGGGCAAGCUAGAAUUCGGUAGGGGAGACUGGAAUUCCUGGUGUAGCGGUGAAAUGCGCAGAUAUCAGGAGGAACACCGGUGGCGAAGGCGGGUCUCUGGGCCGAUAUUGACGCUGAGGAGCGAAAGCGUGGGGAGCGAACA